CGCCCGCUCAGAAACUCAAAGGAAUUGACGGGGGCCCGCACAAGCGGUGGAGCAUGUGGUUUAAUUCGACGAUACGCGAAGAACUUACCCGGGUUUGACAUUGUAUCGAAGCAUCCAGAGAUGGAUGUGUCUCUUCGGAGACGGUAUGACAGGUGCUGCAUGGCUGUCGUCAGCUCGUGCCGUGAGGUGUUGGGUUAAGUCCCAUAACGAGCGCAACCCCUACCUUUAGUUGCCAUCAGGUUAAGCUGGGGACUCUAAAGGAACUGCCUACGCAAGUAGUGAGGAAGGCGGGGAUGACGUCAAAUCAGCACGGCCCUUACGUCCAGGGCUACACACGUGCUACAAUGGCCGAUACAGAGGGCAGCUACCUGGUGACAGGAUGCAAAUCUCCAAAGUCGGUCUCAGUUCGGAUCGGAGUCUGCAACCCGACUCCGUGAAGUUGGAUUCGCUAGUAAUCGCGCAUCAGCCAUGGCGCGGUGAAUACGUUCCCGGGCCUU
rnacentral:rRNA from 1 species